rnacentral:tRNA from 1 species
UGUAAAAUAAGCUAAAUAUUAAGCUUUUGGGUUCAUACCUCAAAUAUGAAUAAACUAUUCUUUUACAG